AUUUGAUCCAGAGACUCCAGGAUCAUGACCUGAGCCGAAGGCAGUCAUAUAAACCAACUGAACCACCCAGGUGCCCUUUGCUCAUGUUUAGUAAGCCUUUCCUCAGGAAAUAAUUAGUUCUGGAAGUUUCCAAAGCUGUUUGGAAACUCAACCAAGACACCACUUUUUGUUGUUGUUGUUGUUGUUGUUGUUGAGAGAGAGGGUAAAAUAACCCAAAUUAUCAUGUGUCAUUGAAUGAAGAACACCAGCCUGGGCACAUUAAUGUGUGGAUAGGAGAGGAAGCUUGGUGAGGAUGUUGAGGACGGCUGCACGUACUGGCUUGGCUUAACCUCUUCAGAGUUCCAGUCACCAAUAAUCACAUUUCAGAUCAUCACAAAAGCCCAGAGUUUCCAGAUGACCUUCCCAUGGGCUUUUUCAAAUAUAUAAAAAACCUUGAUUCCUUGAGAAGACAGUUCCCAUUGCAGAUCACAAUCUUGCAAAACUUCUACAACACCCACACAACAAAAACGUGAGGAUAUGAGCUUUAUAUAGAAAGAGAAUCUUGCUUAAUUAUCAGUUGUAGAGCUAGAAAUUCAAUUUCUUUUUUCCCCUACCCCCAGGGCCAUGAAGGGGUGAUGAUUGGGAUUAAGCUGCCCACUGCCUUACUCAACCAGUCUCAUUUCUGGACCUCUACUACCUUGUGAGGUUCCAAAACACACUGUGUGCCAUUCCCCACCUCUCUGCUUUUGCAUAUGCUGUUCCUUCUGCCUGGCACUCUCUGCCCUGCCUUAGCCUUCUAACAAGCUUCUAUUCAACCUUUAAAACCCCCACUGAAAUGACACCGUUUGGUGAAGUCUUCCCCGACUCCACAGAGAAUCGCCUACAGUUAAUCAGUGGUUCCAUAGCAGCUGGUACAAAACUUAUCCCAUUCUACAGAAAUUGUUUGUUUUCAUGUCUGUCUCUCCCCCCAGAUCUGAGAAUUCCUAAAGGGUAGGGCUGAUGAUUUAUGUCUGUGUCCCCAGCCCUGGCCCAGUGCCUGGCACGUUGUGGAUACUCAGCCAAUGCCAGCUGACCAGAAAUGGAUUCUCUUUCCUGUAACCAGCAGAGUGUUUUGCAAGGUGACUGACCAGGAUCACAGAACAAAAUGAAACCAUUCCUAAAGGGAGCCCUAAGCUCUGCCUGGUAUUAGGAGCUAAAUGCAGAAAACUGCUAACAGUCAAUGUUCGUGCUUGGAAGGCACACAGCAUUCAAAACUUAAUGGAGCCCAUUUGCCUAGAAUCUAUUUUAACAAGAUUACAUGUAAGGAGAAUUUCUCUGAUCAUGUGAUUAAGCUCCGGAACAUGAAUUUGAGGGAGUGAUGGGUACUCCCUAUUGAAGAGCUGCAUAAUUUAUGAUUUUGGAAAAGACUAUUUGGAGUGAGUAGGUAAACAUGAACAGAGACUUCUGAUUGUAAGUUUAUGUAACAGAAUUGCUCAGCUCUGGGCACUGGACACCGGUUGGGUCUUCGGUAGCUUCCCGUGGAAUGACGUGGCCCUCCGUGAGUGGGUGUUGGGGUUGGAUACAUAACUGUCACUUCUCUGCACAGCUCCUCACAGCUUUGCCUCAUCUGCAAACAUCUGAGGGAUUAGUAAAUAUUAGUAGAUACGUUGUUGGUAAAUAGACUGCGAGAACUGCCAGCACCUGCUGGUGCUAAGUCCUUGUGCUCCUUUCUGGCUCCGAGUCUUCCUCUCUGCCUCCUUGUCCAGCAGCCUCUUGGCAUGGAAGUGGGGAGAUCCAGCUGUACGAAAAGAGGACUGGGAGACAAAGGAAGAAAGGGGGCAGGGUUGUGUCUGUGUCCCUUCCCAUUGUACCUGGGCAGACCUCUGUGACCACCAGGACAAAACAAUAUGGUGCGGUGAUGUCAUGUGACUUUCAAUGCUGAGUCAUAAAAAUCUCAUGCACCAGAACCUUUGAUUUUGGAGCUUUGACACCAAGCUUGAAGAAGCCAAGAAGAAGAAACCACAUGAAGAGUCUAUGCAUGGGGGUCAGGCCAUCAGAUCAGCUCCAGCUGAAGUCCCAGCAGACAGCCAGCCUCAAUUGCCCGGAGUAAGACAUGCCCAGAUGACUUCAGCCACCAUCACCCUGAGCUUUUGAGUCCUCCCAGCUGAGGCUCCAGGCACUGUGGGACAGAAACCAGUCAUCUCUAUGUGUUCUAUCUGAAUUCCUGACAUACAGUCCAUAAGCAUAAUAAAAUGAUGGUUUCAGGCCA